UAUGAAUAUAGUUGGACCAUUCAAAUUUCUCUGAAGACUUCAAAAAUAAGGCCUUCACACCAGUGUGGGUCCUAUACUGGCCCUCUGAGUGCCAGUGUAAUUAUUUUAUCUUCUGCCGUAACAUUUGCAAUAAAGUGCAGAGAAGGCUAAUGUAGAUUAUUGAUUUCACCAAUGUAUUAGUAGAUAUGAUAAUAAUAAAUGGUACUUUUACAUUCUCUUAACCAAAAAUAUAACAAAUAUUUACACUCAGUAAAAAUACAAAAAGCAUACAGAGGCACCGUCUUUCUAAAAGACAUAAGUUUAAGAGGUAUCAAAAUAGGAGACGAACAUUGCUUGGUACAGGAAACUUGACAAUCACUGAAUUGUGCAGUAUAAUUGCUAUUAGACUAUUAUGACUGUGCAGUUUUGUUUUUGUCUCUUGCUGAAGUUCAUGUUUCAUUUUUGAAAGAUCAAGUACAACUGCAUUCUGUGUAUAAAAAAUAAAAAAGCCUUUAAAAAGCACAACGAAAGCUAAAUAUGAACUGGAGUCCAAGUUUACAUUUGAAAAUGUCCCGUGAUACUUCUCUGAAGACUUAUUUCUCCAUUUGUUCUAGCUUUUAAGGUAAUUCUAAAAUGACACAUCUACUUGAGUAUCUGAUUUUUUAGAAAUUUAAAAUAUAUCAGAAUAACAAUCCUCGUUUUAAAUACACAAGAAAAACUUCCUCCCGUUCUUUUGCAGGGAAGAAAACACUUUAUAAAGAUUAGGUUCGUUUGGGUUUAACCCCCUGGAUCACUGCCACUGUCCAGCCCAGGGGCCCUCCGGGGGGCUAUGCAGAUGUGACAGCAUGACUUUAUCACCCUCAUGAAAAACCGCUUAAGGCUUUUUCUCCCUAAAAUCAUUCUGAAAGUAAUCAUUUGGAGGGAGCAAAAAUCUAUUAAUUACAAUCAACUUUUAUGGAAGUAUGUAUUGGAUUUACUAAUUCUGCAAAUCUUUCUUCACGAAGAGCCUAUGCUGAAACUAAUUUGGCAAAAGUUUGCACCAUGGAUUUACUGCUUUAGUUAGUAGUCCUGGCAAAUUCAGAAUUGUGGUGGGAUGAAGGCAUGAGUCUCUUUAUUAAAGUUAUAAAUUUAUAAAAUAAAAACAAAAGCAAAUGGGGAUUUAGAAUUGAA